GUGAGCUCGAUGAGUAGGGCGGGACACGUGGUAUCCUGUCUGAAUAUGGGGGGACCAUCCUCCAAGGCUAAAUACUCCUGACUGACCGAUAGUGAACCAGUACCGUGAGGGAAAGGCGAAAAGAACCCCGGCGAGGGGAGUGAAAAAGAACCUGAAACCGUGUACGUACAAGCAGUGGGAGCACGCUUCGGCGUGUGACUGCGUACCUUUUGUAUAAUGGGUCAGCGACUUAUAUUCUGUAGCAAGGUUAACCGAAUAGGGGAGCCGAAGGGAAACCGAGUCUUAACUGGGCGUUAAGUUGCAGGGUAUAGACCCGAAACCCGGUGAUCUAGCCAUGGGCAGGUUGAAGGUUGGGUAACACUAACUGGAGGACCGAACCGACUAAUGUUGAAAAAUUAGCGGAUGACUUGUGGCUGGGGGUGAAAGGCCAAUCAAACCGGGAGAUAGCUGGUUCUCCCCGAAAGCUAUUUAGGUAGCGCCUCGUGAAUUCAUCUCCGGGGGUAGAGCACUGUUUCGGCAAGGGGGUCAUCCCGACUUACCAACCCGAUGCAAACUGCGAAUACCGGAGAAUGUUAUCACGGGAGACACACGGCGGGUGCUAACGUCCGUCGUGAAGAGGGAAACAACCCAGACCGCCAGCUAAGGUCCCAAAGUCAUGGUUAAGUGGGAAACGAUGUGGGAAGGCCCAGACAGCCAGGAUGUUGGCUUAGAAGCAGCCAUCAUUUAAAGAAAGCGUAAUAGCUCACUGGUCGAGUCGGCCUGCGCGGAAGAUGUAACGGGGCUAAACCAUGCACCGAAGCUGCGGCAGCGACACUAUGUGUUGUUGGGUAGGGGAGCGUUCUGUAAGCCUGUGAAGGUGUACUGUGAGG
rnacentral:rRNA from 1 species